rnacentral:rRNA from 1 species
UAGUGGCGAACGGGUGAGUAACACGUGGGCAAUCUGCCCUUCACUCUGGGACAAGCCCUGGAAACGGGGUCUAAUACCGGAUAACACUCCUCAGGGCAUCUUGAGGGGUUAAAAGCUCCGGCGGUGAAGGAUGAGCCCGCGGCCUAUCAGCUUGUUGGUGGGGUGAUGGCCUACCAAGGCGACGACGGGUAGCCGGCCUGAGAGGGCGACCGGCCACACUGGGACUGAGACACGGCCCAGACUCCUACGGGAGGCAGCAGUGGGGAAUAUUGCACAAUGGGCGAAAGCCUGAUGCAGCGACGCCGCGUGAGGGAUGACGGCCUUCGGGUUGUAAACCUCUUUCAGCAGGGAAGAAGCGAAAGUGACGGUACCUGCAGAAGAAGCGCCGGCUAACUACGUGCCAGCAGCCGCGGUAAUACGUAGGGCGCAAGCGUUGUCCGGAAUUAUUGGGCGUAAAGAGCUCGUAGGCGGCUUGUCACGUCGGAUGUGAAAACCCCGGGGCUUAACCCCCGGGUCUGCAUUCGAUACGGNCUAGCUAGAGUGUGGUAGGGGAGAUCGGAAUUCCU